AGACAAGUAGUUUACUUUAAAGACUUUAACUUUGGGAGUUAAAAGAGACCUCCUAGGUCCUAGUCUA
rnacentral:tRNA from 1 species